UACGGGGGGGGCAAGCGUUGUUCGGAAUUACUGGGCGUAAAGGGUUCGCAGGUGGCCUACUAAGUCAGACGUGAAAUCCCUCAGCUUAACUGGGGAACUGCGUCUGAUACUGGGGGGCUUGAGUGCAGGAGAGGAACGCGGAAUUCCAGGUGUAGCGGUGAAAUGCGUAGAUAUCUGGAGGAACACCGGUGGCGAAGGCGGCGUUCUGGACUGCAACUGACACUGAUGAACGAAAGCAAGGGGAGCAAACGGG
rnacentral:rRNA from 1 species